GAUGAACGCUGGCGGCGUGCCUAAUACAUGCAAGUCGAGCGAAUGAUGAGGAGCUUGCUCCUCUGAUUUAGCGGCGGACGGGUGAGUAACACGUGGGUAACCUGCCUGUAAGAUGGGGAUAACUCCGGGAAACCGGGGCUAAUACCGAAUAAUAAAAGAGGAAGCAUUUCUUCUUUUUGAAAGUUGGUUUCGGCUAACACUUACAGAUGGGCCCGCGGCGCAUUAGCUAGUUGGUGAGGUAACGGCUCACCAAGGCGACGAUGCGUAGCCGACCUGAGAGGGUGAUCGGCCACACUGGGACUGAGACACGGCCCAGACUCCUACGGGAGGCAGCAGUAGGGAAUCUUCGGCAAUGGGCGAAAGCCUGACCGAGCAACGCCGCGUGAGCGAGGAAGGCCUUCGGGUCGUAAAGCUCUGUUGUCAGGGAAGAACAAGUACGAGAGUAACUGCUCGUAGCUUGACGGUACCUGACCAGAAAGCCACGGCUAACUACGUGCCAGCAGCCGCAGUAA
rnacentral:rRNA from 1 species